rnacentral:rRNA from 1 species
AUUGAACGCUGGCGGCAUGCCUUACACAUGCAAGUCGAACGGUAACAGGUCUUCGGAUGCUGACGAGUGGCGAACGGGUGAGUAAUACAUCGGAACGUGCCUAGUAGUGGGGGAUAACUACUCGAAAGAGUGGCUAAUACCGCAUGAGAUCUACGGAUGAAAUCAGGGGAUCGCAAGACCUUGUGCUACUAGAUCGGCCGACGGCAGAUUAGGUAGUUGGUGGGAUAAAAGCUUACCAAGCCGACGAUCUGUAGCUGGUCUGAGAGGACGAUCAGCCACACUGGGACUGAGACACGGCCCAGGCUCCUACGGGAGGCAGCAGUGGGGAAUUUUGGACAAUGGGCGCAAGCCUGAUCCAGCAAUGCCGCGUGCAGGAUGAAGGCCUUCGGGUUGUAAACUGCUUUUGUACGGAACGAAAAGCCCCGGGUUAAUACCCUGGGGUCAUGACGGUACCGUAAGAAUAAGCACCGGCUAACUACGUGCCAGCCGCCGCAGUAA